AGUGAACGCUGGCGGCAGGCCUAACACAUGCAAGUCGAGCGGCAGCGCGGGGCAACCUGGCGGCGAGUGGCGCACGGGUGAGUAACACGUAGGUAAUCUACCUUUGGGUGGGGAAUAACAGCCGGAAACGGCUGCUAAUACCGCAUAAUGCAGCGGCUCGACAUCGAGACAGUUGUUAAAGCGGGGGAUCGCAAGACCUCGCGCCUAAAGAGGAGCCUGCGGCGGAUUAGCUUGUUGGUGAGGUAAUGGCUCACCAAGGCAUCGAUCCGUAGCCGGCCUGAGAGGGCGGUCGGCCACACUGACACUGACAUACGGGUCAGACUCCUACGGGAGCAGCAGUGGGAAUCUUGCGCAAUGGGCGAAAGCCUGACGCAGCGACGCCGCGUGAGGGAUG
rnacentral:rRNA from 1 species